UUUGAGUGAGUGGCGAACUGGUGAGUAACACGUGGGAAACCUGCCCAGAAGCGGGGGAUAACACCUGGAAACAGAUGCUAAUACCGCAUAACAACUUGGACCGCAUGGUCCGAGUUUGAAAGAUGGCUUCGGCUAUCACUUUUGGAUGGUCCCGCGGCGUAUUAGCUAGAUGGUGAGGUAACGGCUCACCAUGGACAUGAUACGUAGCCGACCUGAGAGGGUAAUCGGCCACAUUGGGACUGAGACACGGCCCAAACUCCUACGGGAGGCAGCAGUAGGGAAUCUUCCACAAUGGACGAAAGUCUGAUGGAGCAACGCCGCGUGAGUGAAGAAGGUUUCGGCUCGUAAAACUCUGUUGUUAAAGAAGAACAUAUCUGAGAGUAACUGUUCAGGUAUUGACGGUAUUUAACCA
rnacentral:rRNA from 2 species